GGAAGUUCUUGGGAGCGCCAGUUCCGUCUGUGUGUUCGAGUGGACAAAAUGGCGAAGAUCGCCAAGACUCACGAAGGCUUCUAUUCUGCUGCUUGAAGUCAGAACUGCUGAUGGAGACAAAGGCACGAAAGUGUACGUAUUCCGGAUUAGCAACCCAGGAACCCAUCACUUCUGAAGACUCUAAACUGUGCUGUCAUUUUGUUUUUAUAUGCAUUAAAAUAUUUGUUUU
rnacentral:lncRNA from 1 species